rnacentral:tRNA from 1 species
AGAGGUUUCGGUUAAGGUAAGCCAUUGGCCUUCAAAGCCAAAAAUGUGGGUUCGAGUCCCACUCUCUCUG